GCCUCAGUAGUUCAGCCUGGUUAGAACACCGGUUUCAUAAGCCGGGUAUCGGCAGUUCAAAUCUGCCCUGAGGCA
rnacentral:tRNA from 1 species